ensembl:lncRNA
UCUCUGAUCUCGCUUCCUCAUUCCUGAAUACUAUUUUGUCUUGAGCAUGGGUCAGUAUUACAGUCCUAAUAUUACAUUUUUAUUAUUAUUCAUUAUUAUUAUUAUUAUUAUUAUUUAUUCGCCUCUGGAGGAGGAGGUUCCCGAAGCCGGGUGUUAGGCGUGUUGCAAGGGAUAUUUAUGUUGCACUGAGUACGCAGGCGACGUCGAGUCGAGUAGCUACGUUGGAAACAUCCGUUGCUUGUUGGAGCUGUGAAAAGAAGCGUGAGAACAAAGAACCCCAGGGAGGCUCAAAAUACCUGUGUAAAGGAAGAGUAAUAUCACAGACAUUAUUUUCAAAGCAGUGCCUUGUUCUCCUUCAAGAAGAGACUUGCAGCCAGCAACCUCAGAGACAGAGAAAGCCGACCUCUCCAGACGUGACUAAAACUGUAUGCACCAGCACCGCUGCACACAGGCUCUUGCCCGAUCUCCCAGCAGCAAGUACAGCCCUGGCUACCAGCUGGGCAACUUCACUGCUGUGCCUCUUCUGGUCUCUGCUCUCUGCAUGCAGUUACAAACCAGAAAGCGCUGCUGGGGGAUGUUAUAGACCUAAACCUGCCUGAGCCGGGGUCCUCGAUUCCCCUUGGGAAGGGCAGAAGCGGGGCAUGAGGCUGCCUGUGGGGGAGGCAGCAGAACCACAGGGCACGGCUGAACUGUGCCAGGAGUUUCAUCCUUUAAACCGCAGACAUUUCUGACAGUCCUUACUGGCUGGCACAGGGGAGCUGAAGGGUUGGCUGGAAGGAAUCUUCAGAGUAAGGUGGGAAUUACCAUGGGGUAUGAGCAAGUGAUUCAUUAAAAUUUGCUUAGUGAUAUUUACUGUGGUCCUCAGGCAUCGUAAGAAAGUGGAAAGAAAUGAGCAAAACUACAAUAACCCUGCAAGGGUGAAAGAAGUGAGACUGGAGCAACUUCAGGCUCCUUGACCCUGAAGAGCCUCGUUGGGAUGAGAACAGCAGCUUGAUUUAAAAGAGCUCAGUGAUGAGGCAUAUUUUUAAUAGCUGUUUUGAGUUAAUCUGCAUUAAGCACCCAUUAACUUUCCCAAUGAGCCCAGGAACAGAGGCAGCAGAACAAAGCAACACAACCCCCUGACACCUGGGGGUCAAGACCAUGAAGAAGGCAAGAAAGGCAAAAAUGUGUAUUUCCACGCUAGAGAAGAAGAACUGACGGGGAACCCAGUUACCCCAUUCCCUCUUACUGGUGGGAUCCUUUCCCUGAAAAAGGUGAUUCACUCAGGACUGCUUGCACUGCAAGAUUAAAUAACUUUCAUGUAUAAAAUGUGGUAUAGAUUAUUUUCAGGUUCUGCUAUCUCCCCGUCUUGCCAUUAGAAGAAAUAAGUUUCCAGAAUGAAGGGAGAUGGGGGUGGGGGUGCAAAAGAUUUUUGACUGCGAAGCACAACAUAUGUUAAUGUGAAGCUGAACAGCUUUCCAAGCAACAUAUUCCAGUCAAGCUAUUAGUAACACCUGAUGUACCCAUGAUUCCUCAUUAGUUACCUGCCAGCAAUGAGCAAUUGACUUAAUAUUUUCAUUUGUCUUCCUUUUCCCCUCCUUCUCUCCCACCAAUUAAGCAUCUGUUAAUCAUGAGAAAUAAUCUGCCUCUUGGAAAACAUGGGACAAACAGUGAGUUUUUUGUAAUAAAACGGAAUAUUAUUAUAAAUAAUCA